ACGCGCUGAGGCAGAGGCAGAGCCCAGGAGCUCCCCCGGACUUGCCAGCUGCUGCAGGAGGAGUGAGAAGGACCCCACCUCGAGUACUGCUCCCCCCGAGACUAUUCUUGCCCGAUGUUCACACAGAUACGCAGACACAGGCCCAGUGAGGUCAGCUCAUUUUCCUGAGAGGCUCUGGCAGCGGCGCGUACCUCGUGUGCGGUGCCCAGCUCUCCGUGCAUGCAUUUCGCCAGCCGGGCAGCAAACGAAGUGGUGGUGAGUAAUGCGGAUGCUUUAGAUCCAAGCCUUUUUUUCUCCCUCUUUUUUUUUUUUUCCCCCGCUCCAAAAAGGGAAUGUUACUCGGGAUCCAGAUGCAACAAACCCAGGUAUGAGGGGGGACCCUCGAAAAUCCCCCCGAGCCUCUAAACCGGGACAAAAGGCAGAAGCGCUCCCAAAACUCAAGCUGGGUUUGCAAAUUCUCGGAGAGGCAGAGGCGGGCCCCCGGCGGGGCGAAAGGGCCGGAGCCGGGGGGGUUACCCUGCCCGAAGCCCCGGGCAGGAGAGAGCCCCGCUCCGGCGCGUAGAGCCACCGGACUGCUCCCUUUUGUUGCUGCCAUUUAUUUACCCGUUUUUCCGCCUGGACAAGAAAACCUGCGGAGACGCCGCGGGCCGGCUCCACGUGGGUUUGCCUCUGGGGAGAAGGUUGUGCCGCGGAGUUUUGUGAGGACGGAGAUUUCGGACUUGAGCUCAAAUGGGCUUUCGUUGUGCCAGUUAAAAAAAAAAUGUAUAUGUUUAUAUUUAUCUAAAAUCAGCCAACUUAACCGUAGGCGGUAGCCGAUCCUGGAAUUCGGGGCAUGCAGGGUGCUGGCUGUGUUCUGGCAGGUCGCGGCUGAUGACUUAGUUGCAGUGAAAGUUCCCGAAAAGAUUCAGACAUAGCAUAGGGUUCCCGAUUAUUAAUUUUAAUUUAAUUUUAUACAUUUCAUACCUAUAUAGCUCCAAACAACUGUAGUGUGGGAAUUCUGUUUGUGUUGGUUAAAUAGAAAUGCAAAGCAAAUCUUUUAUAAAGUGUUGUGAUACAAGUUUUGGUAGGUAGGUCUACACUCCCAUGCGCCUUUUUUACUAAUUAAUGCCUGGGAAGUUUCUGCCUAAUUGUGUCAUUCUGAGAAUUAAUUUCCAGAUAUAUAUCAGGUUGAUAAUGACAGUGCAUUUGAGAGGAAAUGCUGUGCUCCUGCCAGUGAGAGCAGAGCAAACAGAGCCUCAUUGUCUAGUAUGUUCCAGGGAGUAAACCAAUUGUCAGGGUACGGUAUAGUGUCUACAUUGACUUUGCCCAGUUGUGCUUCUUUCUUUAUUCCCUGUUUUAGCAGGGAACGUUUAAGCCAUGUUCUGGGAGGGAAGUGGUUGGCCGUGUUAGGAAUGCUGUCAUUUUUGCUGUUGCCCACGUUUUCCCUUUAAGGACAGUUGAAUAAAGGCUGUGUGAAAG